GGCAGCAUAGCACAGUGGUAGCACACAGGGCUCAUAACCCUGAGGUCACUUGAUCAAAACAAGUUGUUGCUG